UCCAAGUUCUAGAUCCGGUUAGCUGUGUAAUGGAAGGUAGUGUGGCGUGUUGUUUGUGUUGACAAUAUUAUUUGUGCUUUUAUGAAGACGCGGUUGCCUUAUUUCACGUAGAGUAAGAGUUUUGUAAUACGACAAGGCCAAGGUUUUAUAAGAGAGCGCCGUAUGUUUUAAUCAAGUGGGCAUUAAACAUUAUUAUGAAAGUAACAAACAGAAAACUGUGUAAGUGUCCUACUGGCAAGGUUAAGCUAAAUAUUAAACAACUUUUGUCUUGGCUCUUGUGCCCAAAUGCAUAAUUAAGGUACAGUGUUUUAGGCUGAGGGUAAAUAAUUACAAUAUUAUUCAUAUACAGUUUGUGUUAAUACACUUGGAAGUUGAUUCGAAGUUACAGUGCAAUUUUCACUAGAUGAAAGUCGAACAGAAGACACAGCAGCUUGGUCACGUAUGCUGCUUUCAACUUCAUUCAACGGAGGAUAUUGAGGUAUAUUCGUUUCGUCAUCAUCAUUGCCAUCUUCUGGGUGUAGUUCAUCCCUCAGCAUUUGAUUCAGACGUCUGGGAUCAUUUGGCCUUAAUGACCCCUUCAUCGUGCUCUCAGUUCUCCAUCUUAAAAUGUUAAUCACCCGACCCAAACGACCUCGAGGAGCCGAUCUCAAUCGAAACUUCUACUUAAUUAAAAGGGAAAUGAAAAGGUUUUCCUCUCAGUUUCCACCGCCGUUACUGUGGCGCGUGCUGUUACAGCGCCAGACGCCUGGAGUGUGUAAUUGCACGGGGUGGGCUGGUUCAUAACGCCUCCGAAUAUUAAUUAUUGGUGCGCAGAUUUGGAGGAACAGAGAAUGAUGUAAGAAACUGGAAGAAUACGAAAGAAUAGACGGACGCAAUGGAUAGAUGGAAUCAGAUAAAAUCAUUGAGAAUUUUCCAUCCUGUGAGCUGCAGAGCGCGACACUGUAAAAACUGCCAGCACAGUAGGAAGGAAGAAAUUAUUUAUUGCGUUUUAAAGAAAGAUGUGCCUACAGAGACCACUGCAUAUUUAUACCGGGCACCUUUCAAAUUACUGCCAUCAGUAAUAUCGUAAUGUCAGGUGAAAAGUCUAUCCUAAUAAGUGAAAUUUUUUAUUAUUGAUAGUACAAAAAGUAUAGUGCUGUGACGGCGUGUCCUAGGUAAAGAAUCCAACAUUUGGGGUUGAAAACAUAUGAUUUCCAAAAACAUUUUCCUUUACACAUUUUUACGCAUUGAGCCAAAUGGCAUACUCCUUCCGGUCCCUGGACUUAUGGGACUGUAUAAUGUCGGGAAAUAGAAUCUUAUUUAAUUUCACACUAUUUCGAGAGAGUUGCACUGAAUGUACUCGAAUUCAUUAUAUUGUUCUAGAUUUUUUUAUAGACUUGUAAAAGUGUCACAAGGAUCUUCAGUCACACACCGACUAAAUUACUUCUAAUUGUUGUGGAAAUUGUUUUUAAAAAAUCUUGUUUAUCCAAGAACUGUGAUAUUUUGAAAUAAAGUUUUAUACUAACCGUGUGAGCUCUCAUUAUAGCGGACCAAAAGUUAUUUUGGUCAGAACAAAAUCUUGUGCCCUGUUUUAAAAUAAAAAUUUAUACCAACCGUG